rnacentral:rRNA from 1 species
AUUGAACGCUGGCGGCAUGCCUUACACAUGCAAGUCGCACGGUAACAGGUCUUCGGAUGCUGACGAGUGGCGAACGGGUGAGUAAUACAUAGGAACGUGCCUAGUAGUGGGGGAUAACUACUCGAAAGAGUGGCUAAUACCGCAUGAGAUCUACGGAUGAAAGCAGGGGAGCGCAAGACCUUGUGCUACUAGACCGGCCGAUGGCAGAGUAGAUAGUUGGUGGGAUAAAAGCUUACCAAGCCGACGAUCUGUAGCUGGUCUGAGAGGACAAUCAGCGACACUGGGACUGAGAUACGGCCCAGACUCCUACGGGAGGGAGCAGUGGGGAAUUUUGGACAAUGGGCGCAAGCCUGAUCCAGCAAUGCCGGGUGCAGGAUGAAGGCCUUCGGGUUGUAAACUGCUUUUGUACGGAACGAAAAGCCCCGGGUUAAUACCCUGGGGUCAUGACGGUAGCGUAAGAAUAAGCACCGGCUAACUACGUGCCAGCCGCCGCAGUAA